GGCCUUUGUCUGGCCUCGGGGCCUGCGGCGCCGGCGUCGGGGCGGAGCCGAGGAGGAGAGGGCGGCCUGUUCAAUGAUCCUGGAAUGCAGAAGAUGCACGUCGGCAAGACAUCCUGACUGAAAACCUACGUGGUUUGCAACAACAAAAUGGCAAAAGUUGACGGUGUGAUAAAUGAGGACGCUGCCAGAUUUGAAAUUCUUUGGCACUGCUUGACUUUGGGGCAAAGUGGAGGAGAUUUGAAAGCGGCGCGUUCGGGGUCUUGAGUCAUUUUCCAGUUUUUGCAUGAAGGCACUAGAGAGGUGCAUGUUGGGAAUGGGUUUGCAGUGAGCUCAGAUGGCCAUGUUGAAGGUGGGUUCUGACCUGGGAGAUGGAUAAAGUCCCAGUAAAGUUUCUGUUACUGUGCUAGUGAAGGGGUUGUGUGGUUUGUUAUGUUGAUUAAUGUAUUGCACUUGGAAGAGAUUUUACAGACAUUUGCAGUAUCCUCUGCCUAUCUUUCUAUAUGUCUUGCCAUGAGCA